rnacentral:rRNA from 1 species
UGCUUCGCUGACGAGUGGCGGACGGGUGAGUAAUGUCUGGGAAACUGCCUGAUGGAGGGGGAUAACUACUGGAAACGGUAGCUAAUACCGCAUAACGUCGCAAGACCAAAGAGGGGGACCUUCGGGCCUCUUGCCAUCGGAUGUGCCCAGAUGGGAUUAGCUAGUAGGUGGGGUAACGGCUCACCUAGGCGACGAUCCCUAGCUGGUCUGAGAGGAUGACCAGCCACACUGGAACUGAGACACGGUCCAGACUCCUACGGGAGGCAGCAGUGGGGAAUAUUGCACAAUGGGCGCAAGCCUGAUGCAGCCAUGCCGCGUGUAUGAAGAAGGCCUUCGGGUUGUAAAGUACUUUCAGCGGGGAGGAAGGCGACAAGGUUAAUAACCUUGUCGAUUGACGUUACCCGCAGAAGAAGCACCGGCUAACUCCGUGCCAGCAGCCGCGGUAAUACGGAGGGUGCAAGCGUUAAUCGGAAUUACUGGGCGUAAAGCGCACGCAGGCGGUCUGUCAAGUCGGAUGUGAAAUCCCCGGGCUCAACCUGGGAACUGCAUUCGAAACUGGCAGGCUAGAGUCUUGUAGAGGGGGGUAGAAUUCCAGGUGUAGCGGUGAAAUGCGUAGAGAUCUGGAGGAAUACCGGUGGCGAAGGCGGCCCCCUGGACAAAGACUGACGCUCAGGUGCGAAAGCGUGGGGAGCAGACAGGAUUAGAUACCCUGGUAGUCCACGCCGUAAACGAUGUCGACUUGGAGGUUGUGCCCUUGAGGCGUGGCUUCCGGAGCUAACGCGUUAAGUCGACCGCCUGGGG